GGAGGAGCAUCUACUUCUGGGCUCAGUUAACCGUGGCAAACGGAAACCGCAGGUAAGGGAGGGGACCUCUGUACUCUGACGGAAGGACACUCUGAGGGGUGACCAGUCACAGGGGAAUCGGCAGUCUCCCAAGGCAUCAGAGUUUCGGCCAAGUUUUGCAGGCCCGUGGGGCUUGCCGGAGGGCCAAGCGUGCAGAAGGGUGGACGGUCUGAGCAGAGGAAUCAGCACACGCUGGGGUCGGCUUGAAGUGUGGCAAAUGGACGGCAGCUCGGCAAGAAUUCGGGGGCAGCUCGUCAGCAGGUGUCACUGAGCAACGAGGUCGGGGAAAGAAGAGAGGGAGAGACCGCGUCGGAGUGAGAGAUGGCUGGCAACGGGCUGCUAAAGGAAUUCCUAAUUGUUGACAUAAAUACCACGAGAGCACCAGCGAUUUGCAGAGUACCUACUGUGGAUUUUAAAUACUGUCCCAAGUUCCACAGGUGUUCCUCACGAAGAUCGAUGAGCGAAGUAACUGAAUGCCUACUUGUGCCAGGCGGUGGAAUUAUAGUGGUGAGCAGAAAGAACCAUCACAACCCUUAUGGAGCAUGCCGCC